rnacentral:rRNA from 1 species
UGCGCAGGUGGGGGUGUAAGUCAGUGGCGAAAUGUUGCCGCUCAACGGUAAAAUUGCCAUUGAUACUGCAUCUCUUGAGUAUGGUUGAGGUAGGCGGAAUGUGUUGUGUAGCGGUGAAAUGCAUAGAUAUGACACAGAACACCGAUUGCGAAGGCAGCUUACUAAGCCAUUACUGACGCUGAGGCACGAAAGCGUGGGGAGCGAACAGGAUUAGAUACCCUGGUAGUCC